GCUUGUGGCUGGUGGACCAGCUGUGUUUGGAGCCCAGCCCUGCCCGGCUGUGUUCCUAGUAAGCAGCAUCGAGUACAGAUGCUCGGGAAGCCUUUGCUGAGUAAAUAAACACCGGACAUAUGAGUCCAGAGAAACCCUACAAAACAGGAAAGAGGGCAAAGAACGUUUAUAAAAGUCCGCUAAGAAUGCCAAUGCGUGGAAACAGCUCCAAACCCAUCGACAGGGAUCUGGACAAAUGAAUUGUGGUGGAUCCGUGUGGCAGAAUGUUACUCAGCAGUACAAGGAUGGAUAACGCUUCCAUGAAUCAGCGGGGAUGAUUAUAAAACAUAAGUGAGGGAGAAAGGCAAGUGGGAGACAGAUGGAUAAUCAAUGCUCGUUCCGUAAAUGCCGCACCUGCUGCUGCUGUAAGAUGACCACAGAUUUGGUGGCUUAACGCAGUACACACGUAUGAUCUUACAGUCUUGGGGGUCACAAGUCCAAAAGCCGUCUCACUGGACUGAAGUCCAGGUCUCAGCAGGGCUGGGUCCUUCCGGAGGCUCCAGGGGAGCACUGGCCGCCCAGCCUGUCCCAGCUCUGGAGUUGCCCGCGUUCCUCGGCUCCCGGCCCUUCCUCCGGCUUCGGGGCCGGCAGCAUCUUCCCUCCUCGACCUUGGCCUCCGUCAUCACAUCUUCUCUCCGCUCUGACCUCCUGCCUCCCUCCUGUAGGGACCCUUGUGACACCACAGGACCCAGCCCCAUCAUCCAAGAAACUCGGGACAGGGAAAGGAAAGGAUUACCCCGCACUGGACCAUCUGUGGGAGGCGCUUGUAAUUAGCACAGCCUUUAAUAACUGAGGUUCCUUCGCCAGCUCACUGGAGGCAGCCUGAAAACACCAGCGGCCUCGAUGUGGUUACACAGCAAUGGGAACAAGAGCGUACCUGGUGACACAGAUGAAUCUCACUUAAGGCGUCAUUAGAGGCAGUGGGGGCCACUCUGGGCACAGGUCACAGGAAAUUACAGGCCUCGUUUGGAAUACCAACGACACGGCCGCCACAUGCAUCAAAGACGGAA